CAUGUGUAGCGGUGAAAUGCGUAGAUAUAUGGAGGAACACCGGUGGCGAAAGCGGCUCUCUGGUCUGUAACUGACGCUGAGGCUCGAAAGCGUGGGGAGCGAACAGGAUUAGAUACCCUGGUAGUNCACGCCGUAAACGAUGAGUGCUAGGUGUUAGGCCCUUUCCGGGGCUUAGUGCCGCAGCUAACGCAUUAAGCACUCCGCCUGGGGAGUACGACCGCAAGGUUGAAACUCAAAGGAAUUGACGGGGGCCCGCACAAGCGGUGGAGCAUGUGGUUUAAUUCGAAGCAACGCGAAGAACCCUACCAGGUCUUGACAUCCCGAUGCCCGCUCUAGAGAUAGAGUUUUACUUCGGUACAUCGGUGACAGGUGGUGCAUGGUUGUCGUCAGCUCGUGUCGUGAGAUGUUGGGUUAAGUCCCGCAACGAGCGCAACCCUUAUUGUUAGUUGCCAUCAUUCAGUUGGGCACUCUAGCGAGACUGCCGGUAAUAAACCGGAGGAAGGUGGGGAUGACGUCAAAUCAUCAUGCCCCUUAUGACCUGGGCUACACACGUGCUACAAUGGCUGGUACAACGAGUCGCAAGUCGGUGACGGCAAGCUAAUCUCUUAAAGCCAGUCUCAGUUCGGAUUGUAGGCUGCAACUCGCCUACAUGAAGUCGGAAUCGCUAGUAAUCGCGGAUCAGCACGCCGCGGUGAAUACGUUCCCGGGCCUUGUACACACCGCCCGUCACACCACGAGAGUUUGUAACACCCGAA
rnacentral:rRNA from 1 species